GUUUGCGCCCGGGACGGGGAUGAUCUAGGGUUUAUCGUCGAGCUGGGGACGUAAACCAGCAUAAGGUCUUUUUGGUUUUGUUUUUCAUUGAUUUCGAUUCAAUUAUUGCUUGCACGAUGCACCCCGGGCUUCUCUGAUGUUCUACGUGAAGUUGAUAGCCCCAUUGCUCGUGCUAGAGUGGUGCCGUUUAGUGUUGCAGGUUGGCCUUGCUCUUUUCCACGGCUGAUCUGUGUCAAAAUAACGGCGAGAUUCGUUUAUCUUGGUUAUAACGCCACAAUGUAAUGUUGCAUCUUCUUUUUGGGGCGGCCUCACUACACCUUUAGCUUGUUUCUGCAGAUUAUGAAUAUGGGAAUGAAGCUAGUCAUAGAGGCCGAAAUUUAGUCCUCGGCGGUGUUCACGUGGGGGUCUGUACGUUUAAUGUUUUCUCUUAUAGAUUGAUUGAAAAUCCACCUGCUCUCCGAUGGUACUCUUUUGAUCGGCCUUUAUGAACGAAGAACCAUGAAACAGCUAUCAAAGACUUGGUGUGACGUAUGAAAGCUUUCAUAAGCUUGGGAGUUUCCAUUUCCAUGCUUCCUUCUAAAACAUUGUUUAACUAUUUUAUUUAUGUUAAAUGAUGCUGCGAUCGUCAUGGAUAUUAAUAAUCAAUGAAAGAAUAUUUACCCCAUA